rnacentral:rRNA from 1 species
GACGAACGCUGGCGGCGUGCUUAACACAUGCAAGUCGAACGGUAAGGCCCCUUCGGGGGUACACGAGUGGCGAACGGGUGAGUAACACGUGGGUGAUCUGCCCUGCACUUCGGGAUAAGCCUGGGAAACUGGGUCUAAUACCGGAUAGGACCACGCUCUGCAUGGAGUGUGGUGGAAAGCUUUUGCGGUGUGGGAUGGGCCCGCGGCCUAUCAGCUUGUUGGUGGGGUGAUGGCCUACCAAGGCGACGACGGGUAGCCGGCCUGAGAGGGUGUCCGGCCACACUGGGACUGAGGUACGGCCCAGACUCCUACGGGAGGCAGCAGGGGGGAAUAUUGCACAAUGGGCGCAAGGCUGAUGCAGCGACGCCGCGUGGGGGAUGACGGCCUUCGGGUUGUAAACCUCUUUCAGUACCGACGAAGCGGAAGUGACGGUAGGUACAGAAGAAGCACCGGCCAACUACGUG